UACGGAGGGGCUAGCGUUGUUCGGAAUUACUGGGCGUAAAGCGCACGUAGGCGGCCUGUUAAGUCGGGUGUGAAAGCCCUGGGCUCAACCCAGGAAGUGCACUCGAAACUGGCGGGCUUGAAUAUGGAAGAGGGUCGCGGAAUUCCCGGUGUAGAGGUGAAAUUCGUAGAUAUCGGGAGGAACACCAGUGGCGAAGGCGGCGACCUGGGCCAAUAUUGACGCUGAGGUGCGAAAGCG
rnacentral:rRNA from 1 species